GGACUGUGGCUCAGUGGAAGAGCACUUGCCUAGCAUGUGCGAGGCCCUGGGUUCAAACCUUAGCACCA
rnacentral:tRNA from 1 species